UGGAAAAUGUUGAAUCCUGUUCUCUCUCUCGACCUCACCCAUUUGUGCAACACCAUUCUCUCUCUUCAUCUCAAACCCUACUCUCUCUCUCUCUCGACCUCACCCAAAAAUUCCGGCAAUUCCACCGCCUUCUGAUUAGAGAACUCUAAUCUAUCGCUCUAUGUCAUGGUCGCCUUCUCACGCCUCUGCCGAGCCAGUAAACCUGCGAUUCCCUCGGUGGUCAAACCCACGCAACCCCCUCGCCGACGCAUUGGAAAAUUAGUGGCUGAUCCCGCGGUUCCCGGCAUGGUAGAAAUCUGUUGAAGAGCUUGAUGUAACGUUGGAUCCUAAUUUGCCUCAGGGUCUCGCUCAUUUGUCAUGUGUAAUGCUGGUUAGAGCGAAGGAUCUUAUGUUAGAGCAUCUAAUUCAUACCUUUCCCUUUCCCUGUCAUGUCAAAGCUCUAUCACGAAGUGAUCAGCGUAUCACCAGGAAAGUCUCUGAACUUUUUUUAGAAUAAGGAUGAAUUCUAAGGAAAAAAAGUGUUGUGGACUACUUAGAAGUUUUAAUAAGCAGUAAAGUCAAUCAAUUGUGGCAACUACCCCCAGUCCUUGCAGCAAUUGCAAUUCCUUCAUGGCUAAACUAAUUAGCCCUAUAAGGAAGUCGACGCCAAGUUUUUGGUGUCAAUGCACACAAACAGAUGACUUGGGUGAAAUCUUUCUAUACUGUCUUUGCUUGAAUUGUUGAGCCCCUGAUUUAGAGGAUAAAACUGUGAUAUGCUUGAAUUAUGGUGUCUCUGCCUCAUUUUAUUUUAUGUGGUGUACAUUGUUGGUUGGUUGCUUGGAAACUUGUUUGGAGUUUUGUGCAUUGCUGCUUAGUUGUUGGUUGAUGUGCAUUGUUGGUUGUUGUGCAUGGUUGGCUGACUGUUGGCUAGUUGUUGGUUGAUGUGCAUUGUUGGCUGACUGUUGGCUUAUUAUUAAAUGGUUUGUUGGGUGUUUUGUGCAUUGUUGGUUGGUUGUUGGGUUCUGUACAUUGUUGGCUGGAUGUUGGCUUAUUGUUGGCUAGUUGUUGACUGGUUGAGCAUGUCAUGUGCUAUAUGUGCAUUAUGUACAUUAUUGGUGGAUUUUGUAAAGCUAUUUAAUGGGUGUGUUGAACAAGUUUUGCUUUGCUAUUUCAUGUCUGCAUACAAAAUAAUUUCCAUUCAAAAAGCUUUACAAAAAUAUGCAUGAUUUAUACAUUAUGUUUGUCAACAUAACACAAUACUCAUGCAACCCUUUAGCUUAACAAAAUCUAACAUGCACUACCAUUUUUCAAAAAAAAAAAAAAAAAAAAAAAA